AGAACGAACGCUGGCGGCAGGCUUAACACAUGCAAGUCGAACGCUCCGCAAGGAGAGUGGCAGACGGGUGAGUAACACGUGGGAACAUACCCUUUGGUUCGGAACAACUCAGGGAAACUUGAGCUAAUACCGGAUAAGCCCUACGGGGGAAAGAUUUAUCGCCGAAGGAUUGGCCCGCGUCUGAUUAGCUAGUUGGUGAGGUAAUGGCUCACCAAGGCGACGAUCAGUAGCUGGUCUGAGAGGAUGAUCAGCCACAUUGGGACUGAGACACGGCCCAAACUCCUACGGGAGGCAGCAGUGGGGAAUAUUGGACAAUGGGUGCAAGCCUGAUCCAGCCAUGCCGCGUGAGUGAUGAAGGCCUUAGGGUUGUAAAGCUCUUUACCCGGGAAGAUAAUGACUGUACCGGGAGAAUAAGCCCGGCUAACUUCGUGCCAGCAGCCGC
rnacentral:rRNA from 1 species